AUGCCGCCCCUUUUCCUCCUCCUCCUCCCCGUCCUCCUCCUCGCGCCUCCCCCCUUCACGCAGGCCGCCGCCGCCGCUGCCGAGGACAUCUGCAUCGUCGGCAGCGGCAUCUCGGGCGCCUCCACGGCCUUCUUCCUCACCAACUACACCGCCCCCGACCCGGCCCCGCAGCUCCGCGUCUUCGAGCGCCGCGACAGGGUCGGCGGCCGCCUCGCCACCGUCACCGUCGCCGGCGAGGUCUUCGAGGCCGGCGGCUCCGUCAUCCACCCGCGCAACCUCCACGUGCGCCGCUUCGCCGACCUACUCGGCCUCGCCGCCAAGACCGGCGGCGACGACGACGAGGACUGGCUCGGGAUCUGGGACGGCGCCCGCUUCGUCUUCAAGACUCUCCGCCCGCCCCCGCCGGGGAGCUCCUGGCUCCGCCGCAAGCUCCACGGCCUCGCCAACUCGCUCCUGCUGCUCAGGCGAUAUGGUCUCUCUCUGCUCAGGAUGGACAGCUUCGUGCAGGAAAUGUUGCAAAAGUUUAUGCUUUACUACAACGGAUUCGAGUCCCGGCCUGUGUUCGACAACGUUGAGGAGAUGCUCAAAUGGUCAGGCCUGUAUGGGCUCACUCGCAGGACCCUAGAGGACGAGCUCAUUGAUGCCGGGCUGAAUACUCAAACCAUAUCAGAGCUUGUCACUGUAAUAACAAGGAUCAACUAUGGACAAAGCACGAGCAUAAGUGGUCUAGCCGGCGCUGUGUCUUUAGCUGGCUCCGAGUCUGGACUGUGGUCUAUCAAAGGAGGCAACUGGCAGCUAGCUGCUGGGUUGCUCAAGGCUGCUAACGCCACUCUGCAUCUCCAAGAAGGCAUAGAGUCAAUCUCUGAUGCAGGGGAUUACUAUGUUCUGAAAUCGAAUAAAGGUCAUGAGUACAACUGCACGGUGACGGUUGUUGCAACGCCCCUCGAUGAGGUGAACAUUACAUUUAUCCCUCCGAUCUCUAUUCCACCAAGGAAGAUGCAGCAUACCCAUACAACCUUUGUCAGAGGCCUCUUGGACCCUAAAUUCUUUGGUCUGAGCUCAGUGUCCGACAUUCCAGAGCUGAUAGGAACCAUGGAGCUCCCUGAUAUCCCCUUCUCGUGCAUCUCAGUUCGGAAGAAGCAUGGCGAACAUGACAUGACUUACAAAAUUUUCUCACGUGCGAAGCUGGAGGAUGCUUUGCUGGAUCGGAUCUUCAGCACAAGGAAGGAGACCAUCCGGAUAGACUGGCCCGCCUACCCCCACUACCAGGCCCCGGAGGAUUUCGCGCCGAUCAUACUGGACGGCAGGCACCUGUACUACGUGAACACCUUCGAGAGCGCCGCGAGUGCCAUGGAGACGGGCGCCGUCGCGGCGGAGAACGUGGCGAGGCUCGUCAUCUCGAGGCUGCCUCUCGGGCUACGAGCUGGGCUCUCGACGGCAGCGGCACCUGAGCCUCAUAUCGAGUCGUUUCCCAGUGAGGAGGAAGUUUCCCGGCGUGUGGACCUGUGA
rnacentral:rRNA from 1 species